CCUACGGGAGGCAGCAGUGGGGGAUAUUGCACAAUGGGGGGAACCCUGAUGUAGCGACGCCGCGUGGGUGAAGGAGCGUUUCGGCGCGUAAAGCCCUAUCGGCAGGGAAGAAGGAGGACGGUACCUGACUAAGAAGCCCCGGCUAACUACGUGCCAGUAGCCGCGGUAAUACGUAGGGGGCAAGCGUUAUCCGGAUUUACUGGGUGUAAAGGGGGCGCAGACGGCAGCGCAAGCCAGGAGUGAAAGCCCGGGGCUCAACCGCGGGACUGCUUUUGAAACUGUGUAGCUAGAGUGCAGGAGAGGUAAGUGGAAUUCCUAGUGUAGCGGUGAAAUGCGUAGAUAUUAGGAGGAACACCGGUGGCGAAGGCGGCUUACUGGACUGUAACUGACGUUGAGGCUCGAAAGCGUGGGGAGCAAACAGGAUUAGAUACCCGUGUAGUC
rnacentral:rRNA from 1 species